rnacentral:rRNA from 1 species
GAUGAACGCUGGCGGCGUGCCUAAUACAUGCAAGUCGAGCGAACAGACGAGGAGCUUGCUCCUCUGACGUUAGCGGCGGACGGGUGAGUAACACGUGGAUAACCUACCUAUAAGACUGGGAUAACUUCGGGAAACCGGAGCUAAUACCGGAUAAUAUAUUGAACCGCAUGGUUCAAUAGUGAAAGACGGUUUUGCUGUCACUUAUAGAUGGAUCCGCGCCGCAUUAGCUAGUUGGUAAGGUAACGGCUUACCAAGGCGACGAUGCGUAGCCGACCUGAGAGGGUGAUCAGCCACACUGGAACUGAGACACGGUCCAGACUCCUACGGGAGGCAGCAGUGGGGAAUCUUGCGCAAUGGGCGAAAGCCUGACGGAGCAACGCCGCGUGAGUGAUGAAGGUCUUCGGAUCGUAAAACUCUGUUAUUAGGAAAGAACAAAUGUAUAAGUAACUAUGCACGUCUUGACGGUACCUAAUCAGAAAGCCACGGCUAACUACGUG